GGUUCUAUAGUGUAAUGAUUAGCACUCUGGACUUUGAAUCCAUUGAUUUGAGUUCAACUCUCAGUAGAACAG
rnacentral:tRNA from 1 species